UACGGAGGGUGCGAGCGUUGUCCGGAAUCAUUGGGCGUAAAGGGCGCGUAGGUGGCCCGGUCAGUCUUUGGUGAAAGCGCGGGGCUCAACCCUGCGUCGGCCAGGGAUACUGCCGCGGCUGGAGCACUGUAGAGGCAGGCGGAAUUCCGGGUGUAGCGGUGAAAUGCGUAGAUAUCCGGAGGAACACCGGUGGCGAAGGCGGCUUGCUGGGCCAGUUCUGACGCUGAGGAGCGAAAGCGUGGGGAGCGAACAGG
rnacentral:rRNA from 1 species